rnacentral:rRNA from 1 species
GACGAACGCUAGCGGCGUGCCUAAUACAUGCAAGUUGAGCGGUGAAGGUUGGUACUUGUCCCGAGUGGGUGAGCAGCGAACGGGUGCGUAACGCGUGGAGAAUCUUCCUUUAAGCGGGGGACAACAUAGGGAAACGAGUGCUAAUACCGCAUAAAAACUUUAAACACAAGUAUUAAGUUUGUAAGAUGCCAGUGCAUCACGAAAAGUUGAUGUCGCGUUGUAUUAGCUAGUUGGUGAGGGAAAGGCUCACCAACGCGAUGAUACAUAGCCGACAUGAGAUGGGGAUCGGCCACAAUGGGACUGAGACACGGCCCAAACCCCUACGGGAGGCAGUAGUAGGGAAUCUUCGGCAAUGGACGAAAGUCUGACCGAGCAACGCCGCGUGAGGGAAGAAGGUUUUCGGAUCGUAAAACUCUGUUGGUAGAGAAGAACGUUGGUGAGAGUGUAAAGCUCAUCAAGUGACGGUAACUACCCAGAAAGGGACGGCUAACUACGUG